GAUGAACGCUGGCGGCGUGCCUAAUACAUGCAAGUCGAGCGAACGGACGAGAAGCUUGCUUCUCUGAUGUUAGCGGCGGACGGGUGAGUAACACGUGGAUAACCUACCUAUAAGACUGGGAUAACUUCGGGAAACCGGAGCUAAUACCGGAUAAUAUUUUGAACCGCAUGGUUCAAAAGUGAAAGACGGUCUUGCUGUCACUUAUAGAUGGAUCCGCGCUGCAUUAGCUAGUUGGUAAGGUAACGGCUUACCAAGGCAACGAUGCAUAGCCGACCUGAGUGGGUGAUCGGCCACACUGGAACUGAGACACGGUCCAGACUCCUACGGGAGGCAGCAGUAGGGAAUCUUCCGCAAUGGGCGAAAGCCUGACGGAGCAACGCCGCGUGAGUGAUGAAGGUCUUCGGAUCGUAAAACUCUGUUAUUAGGGAAGAACAUAUGUGUAAGUAACUGUGCACAUCUUGACGGUACCUAAUCAGAAAGCCACGGCUAACUACGUG
rnacentral:rRNA from 1 species